rnacentral:rRNA from 1 species
CACGGGGGGGGCAAGCGUUGUUCGGAAUUACUGGGCGUAAAGGGCUCGUAGGCGGCCAACUAAGUCAGACGUGAAAUCCCUCGGCUUAACCGGGGAACUGCGUCUGAUACUGGAUGGCUAGAGGUUGGGAGAGGGAUGCGGAAUUCCAGGUGUAGCGGUGAAAUGCGUAGAUAUCUGGAGGAACACCGGUGGCGAAGGCGGCAUCCUGGACCAAUUCUGACGCUGAUGAGCGAAAGCCAGGGGAGCAAACGGG